UACGUAGGGCGCAAGCGUUGUCCGGAAUUAUUGGGCGUAAAGAGCUCGUAGGCGGUCUGUCACGUCUGCCGUGAAAACCCGAGGCUUAACCUCGUGGCUUGCGGUGGAUACGGGCAGACUAGAGGUAGGUAGGGGAGAACGGAAUUCCCGGUGUAGCGGUGAAAUGCGCAGAUAUCGGGAGGAACACCGGUGGCGAAGGCGGUUCUCUGGGCAUUAACUGACGCUGAGGAGCGAAAGCAUGGGGAGCGAACAGG
rnacentral:rRNA from 1 species